GAUUUUUCCAGCCAAGAAAUGGGUUUUGAAAGCUUCAUAUUUUCAGCAACUUUGAGGCUUAGCAAAUGAUGAAAAUCGAGAUUUGGACCUUGAACGGAAAGAAAUCGAUUAAGGGAUAAUUACGUCUUUUUUUUUUUACCUUUGUGGUAUUGAGAUCGUUGACUCUUACUAUUAGCACGGGGAUCGUCAGCACUUCGUCACACUAUCUACUAUUGUGGUUAUCAUGUGUUUUGGACUUAGCUUAUGGCAUGUUUAGGUUAGACUAUAAGUAGAAUGCUAUUUUGACUAUUGUAUAUAAGCCAUGCAAAUAUGGCAUCUUAUAGAAGUUUACUUUUAUAAGUUUUAAAUUCGAUCUUUGUUUGUAUCUAUUAGUUAUAUAUAUAAAUAAUCUUUUAUUUAAGAAAA